CAAUAGCGUAUAUUAAAGUUGUUGCAGUUAAAAAGCUCGUAGUUGGAUUUCUGGUUUUGUUUGUUUGGUACACUGCAAAGUGUAUUACAGAUUAAGCAAAUGCCAUAUUUGUGAGGAACUAUUGUUGUGAUUCAUUUCACGCGGUAGGGAAUCGCAUCGUUUACUGUGAAAAAAUUAGAGUGUUUAAAGCAGGCUUGAUUGCAUUGAAUACAUUAGCAUGGAAUAAUAAGAUAGGACUUUGGUGCUAUUUUAUUGGUUUGCACACCAAAGUAAUGAUUAAUAGGGACAGUUGGGGGUAUUCGUAUUUAGUUGUCAGAGGUGAAAUUCUUGGAUUUACGAAAGACGAACAACUGCGAAAGCAUUUACCAAGGAUGUUUUCAUUA
rnacentral:rRNA from 1 species